rnacentral:sRNA from 1 species
CUUGAACCUGGGAGGCGGAGAUUGCUGUGAGCCAAGAUCACAUCAUUGCAUUCCAGCCUGGGCAACAAGAGCGAAACUCCAUCUCAGGAAAAAAAGAAAAAAAGAGAGAGAGAACAGAUUUAAAGGAAUUUGUGAUGUUCUGACAAGACUUGACUCCUGACUGAGUUGUUAUGGCUGAUGAGGGAGAAGGAAACGAUCAAGAUUACUUAGCAGUUUCUUUGUUAUUCUGAGAAUCGAGCAGAGAAGAAAGAAUACUCUGAGAAUGAAAGAGGAAGACAGCAUUCAGAGCGGGACAUAGUUUUGAGGUACAUGGGAUUCGGUCAGUAGUUGGAAAUUUGGAUCAUGAAUUCAGAAGAAACACCAAGGCAAGAAAGAUUUUUUUAAAACUUUAAUUUUUAAACUAAUUAUAGCACUUUUGAUUAAUCAAGUCUUAACAAGUGGGAAUAUUUUGGAAUUUUACUUCUAACACCUUAUUUUUAUGGGUGCUGUGAUUACACCAACCAUGGACCAUCCCAUGUCAAUGCAGCCAGCCAACAUGAUGGGCCCACUGACACAGCAGAUGAAUCACCUUUCGUUGGGCACAACAGGAACGAUUCAAUCCCAAGACAGGAUUAUGAUACUCCACCAGCUGUUGUGUCAGUAUAUGACUGCUGCUGCUCCUAUGCAAGGGACCUACAUUCCUCAGUACACGCCUGUGCCUCCGACAGCUGUUUCUAUUGAAGGUGUUGUUGCUGAUACCUCUCCCCAGACAGUGGCACCUUCAUCCCAGGACACCAGUGGUCAGCAGCAACAGAUAGCAGUGGACACAUCCAAUGAACAUGCACCUGCAUAUUCUUA